UACGGGGGGAGCAAGCGUUGUUCGGAUUUACUGGGCGUAAAGGGCGCGUAGGCGGCCACCGCAAGUCGACUGUGAAAUCUCCGGGCUUAACCCGGAAAGGUCAGCCGAUACUGCGGGGCUAGAGUGCGGAAGGGGAACUGGAAUUCUCGGUGUAGCGGUGAAAUGCGUAGAUAUCGAGAGGAACACCUGCGGCGAAGGCGGGUUGCUGGGCUGACACUGACGCUGAUGCGCGAAAGCUAGGGGAGCGAACGGG
rnacentral:rRNA from 1 species